UGAACUCCUCGUGCUGCCUGGCCAGAGAGAAGCUGGGGUGUAUAAGUUGCUGGGAGGUGACAAAGCUGACAGAGACAGGUCACAAAGAUGUACCACUCCAUAUGGUGUGACAUUCAACAAUAAAACUGGGGGCACUGGAUAGGAGGGCUGCUUCUGUUCGGGAAUCGGUCAGCAAGUGAUCAGUGAUGCAAAAAUAAUGUCCACCACUGGAGAAGUGAGAUCUGGUAGUCCUGCAUUGUCUUCAAAGAAAAAGUGUCAGGCAGAAGCUCCAUCAGAAAAAUAGUCAGGUCAGACAUAACCACUCUCGUCACAUGUUUGGCUAAAAGGAGCUCCAAAGCUGAUGUUGUGAAAUAUCCUGCCUGCUUCUAAACUAUGCAAGCAUUAAA